GAUCAGGUACCACAGGUAAUGGGCCCACAAUGCAGGAAUGGCGAGUAAAUCCGAUAAACAAGCCAGAAUCGGGGCAGGCAGCACAGGAGCGUAGUCAAAAACGAUAGCCGAGGUCGGGGCAGGCAGCACAGGAGCGUAGUCAGAAGAACAAAGCCGAGGUCUGGUACACGUAAAUAACAAUCAAAA